rnacentral:rRNA from 1 species
UGUAUAAUGGGUCAGCGACUUAUAUUCUGUAGCAAGGUUAACCGAAUAGGGGAGCCGAAGGGAAACCGAGUCUUAACUGGGCGUUAAGUUGCAGGGUAUAGACCCGAAACCCGGUGAUCUAGCCAUGGGCAGGUUGAAGGUUGGGUAACACUAACUGGAGGACCGAACCGACUAAUGUUGAAAAAUUAGCGGAUGACUUGUGGCUGGGGGUGAAAGGCCAAUCAAACCGGGAGAUAGCUGGUUCUCCCCGAAAGCUAUUUAGGUAGCGCCUCGUGAAUUCAUCUCCGGGGGUAGAGCACUGUUUCGGCAAGGGGGUCAUCCCGACUUACCAACCCGAUGCAAACUGCGAAUACCGGAGAAUGUUAUCACGGGAGACACACGGCGGGUGCUAACGUCCGUCGUGAAGAGGGAAACAACCCAGACCGCCAGCUAAGGUCCCAAAGUCAUGGUUAAGUGGGAAACGAUGUGGGAAGGCCCAGACAGCCAGGAUGUUGGCUUAGAAGCAGCCAUCAUUUAAAGAAAGCGUAAUAGCUCACUGGUCGAGUCGGCCUGCGCGGAAGAUGUAACGGGGCUAAACCAUGCACCGAAGCUGCGGCAGCGACGCUUAUGCGUUGUUGGGUAGGGGAGCGUUCUGUAAGCCUGUGAAGGUGUGCUGUGAGGCAUGCUGGAGGUAUCAGAAGUGCGAAUGCUGACAUAAGUAACGAUAAAGCGGGUGAAAAGCCCGCUCGCCGGAAGACCAAGGGUUCCUGUCCAACGUUAAUCGGGGCAGGGUGAGUCGACCCCUAAGGCGAGGCCGAAAGGCGUAGUCGAUGGGAAACAGGUUAAUAUUCCUGUACUUGGUGUUACUGCGAAGGGGGGACGGAGAAGGCUAUGUUGGCCGGGCGACGGUUGUCCCGGUUUAAGCGUGUAGGCUGGUUUUCCAGGCAAAUCCGGAAAAUCAAGGCUGAGGCGUGAUGACGAGGCACUACGGUGCUGAAGCAACAAAUGCCCUGCUUCCAGGAAAAGCCUCUAAGCAUCAGGUAACAUCAAAUCGUACCCCAAACCGACACAGGUGGUCAGGUAGAGAAUACCAAGGCGCUUGAGAGAACUCGGGUGAAGGAACUAGGCAAAAUGGUGCCGUAACUUCGGGAGAAGGCACGCUGAUAUGUAGGUGAAGUCCCUUGCGGAUGGAGCUGAAAUCAGUCGAAGAUACCAGCUGGCUGCAACUGUUUAUUAAAAACACAGCACUGUGCAAACACGAAAGUGGACGUAUACGGUGUGACGCCUGCCCGGUGCCGGAAGGUUAAUUGAUGGGGUUAGCGGUAACGCGAAGCUCUUGAUCGAAGCCCCGGUAAACGGCGGCCGUAACUAUAACGGUCCUAAGGUAGCGAAAUUCCUUGUCGGGUAAGUUCCGACCUGCACGAAUGGCGUAAUGAUGGCCAGGCUGUCUCCACCCGAGACUCAGUGAAAUUGAACUCGCUGUGAAGAUGCAGUGUACCCGCGGCAAGACGGAAAGACCCCGUGAACCUUUACUAUAGCUUGACACUGAACAUUGAGCCUUGAUGUGUAGGAUAGGUGGGAGGCUUUGAAGUGUGGACGCCAGUCUGCAUGGAGCCGACCUUGAAAUACCACCCUUUAAUGUUUGAUGUUCUAACGUUGACCCGUAAUCCGGGUUGCGGACAGUGUCUGGUGGGUAGUUUGACUGGGGCGGUCUCCUCCUAAAGAGUAACGGAGGAGCACGAAGGUUGGCUAAUCCUGGUCGGACAUCAGGAGGUUAGUGCAAUGGCAUAAGCCAGCUUGACUGCGAGCGUGACGGCGCGAGCAGGUGCGAAAGCAGGUCAUAGUGAUCCGGUGGUUCUGAAUGGAAGGGCCAUCGCUCAACGGAUAAAAGGUACUCCGGGGAUAACAGGCUGAUACCGCCCAAGAGUUCAUAUCGACGGCGGUGUUUGGCACCUCGAUGUCGGCUCAUCACAUCCUGGGGCUGAAGUAGGUCCCAAGGGUAUGGCUGUUCGCCAUUUAAAGUGGUACGCGAGCUGGGUUUAGAACGUCGUGAGACAGUUCGGUCCCUAUCUGCCGUGGGCGCUGGAGAACUGAGGGGGGCUGCUCCUAGUACGAGAGGACCGGAGUGGACGCAUCACUGGUGUUCGGGUUGUCAUGCCAAUGGCACUGCCCGGUAGCUAAAUGCGGAAGAGAUAAGUGCUGAAAGCAUCUAAGCACGAAACUUGCC